UUCCAAUAUGCUCGAAGUACAGGGACUUUUAUGGAAUUCAUUGACAUGAUAGUCAAGCAAGAUGUCAACAUCUCGUCCAACCCUCUUCCAGCAAAGCCAAAGCUGACCAAGGAUCUUCACCCUUUCAAAACAGGCUGUAUACAGGACGAGUUAUUCCAGUAGGAACAGGGCUAUAUAUAUGCAAGCAAUGUUCAAUUAAGAUGAAUUUUUGUAAAAGUGACAAUAGCCAGGUCAAACUAAAUACAUGUAUAGAAGAAGAUAUUGAUCUAGACUCGCAGCUAACCUUUCUGUCAGUGUCAACAACAACUGAACUUUCACAGCCGUCAACAUCAGAUUGGGAGACUGAUAAUGCUUCUAACAGAAACAAUUUUAACCAACCAAACAAGCAACAGAAACUUUCCAACUUUAAAACAUCAGUUAAAUCUUCCAUGGGAUGAUGUCUCAAAAAAUAACAGUUCAUCAUUUAUGGAGAUUUUAAUGUUAUGGUUUUUCUUUUACAAGAAAGUUAAUGUACACUUGUUUUAUAGUAAAACCUAUAGCCGUUCAAGUAUAAAAAAACACAAUCAACUUUAUUGAAAUUU